GACGAACGCUGGCGGCGUGCUUAACACAUGCAAGUCGAACGGAAAGGCCCUGCUUUUGUGGGGUUCUCGAGUGGCGAACGGGUGAGUAACACGUGAGUAACCUGCCCUUGACUUUGGGAUAACUUCAGGAAACUGGGGCUAAUACCGGCUAGGAGCUCCUGCUUCAUGGUGGGGGUUGGAAAGUUUCGGCGGUUGGGGAUGUACUCGCGGCUUAUCAGCUUGUUGGUGGGGUAGUGGCUUACCAAGGCUUUGAAGGGUAGCCGGCCUGAGAGGGGGACCGGCCACCUUGGGCCUGCGAUACGGCCCAGACUCCUACGGGACGCAGCAGUGGGGAAUAUUGCACAGUGGGCGGAAGCCUGAUGCGGCAACGCCGCGUGCGGGAAGACGGGCUUCGGGUUGUAAACCGAUGUCGCCUGAGACGAAGCGUGAGUGACGGUAAUGGGUAAAGAAGCACCGGCUAACUACGUG
rnacentral:rRNA from 1 species